rnacentral:rRNA from 1 species
GAUGAACGCUGGCGGCGUGCCUAAUACAUGCAAGUCGAGCGAACAGACGAGGAGCUUGCUCCUCUGACGUUAGCGGCGGACACGGGAGUAAAACGUGGAUAACCUUCCUUUAAGAAUGGGAUAAACUCGGGAAAACGGAGGUAAUAACGGAUAAUAUAUUGAACCGCAUGGUUCAAUAGUGAAAGACGGUUUUGCUGUCAAUUAUAGAUGGAUCCGCGCCGGAUUAGCUAGUUGGUAAGGUAACGGCUUACCAAGGCAACGAUGCGUAGCAGACCUGAGAGGAUGAUCGGCCACACUGGAACUGAGACACGGUCCAGACUCCUACGGGAGGCAGCAGUAGGGAAUCUUCCGCAAUGGGCGAAAGCCUGACGGAGCAACGCCGCGUGAAUGAAGAAGGUCUUCGGAUCGUAAAGCACUGUUAUUAGGGAAGAACAAAUGUGUAAGUAACUCUGCACUUCUUGACGUUACCUAAUCAGAAAGCCACGGCUAACUACGUG